rnacentral:misc_RNA from 1 species
GAAAUGCGAUAAGUAAUGUGAAUUGCAGAAUUCCGUGAAUCAUCGAAUCUUUGAACGCACAUUGCGCCCUCUGGCAUUCCGGGGGGGCAUGCCUGUCCGAGCGUCAUUACGCACCCUCAAGCCCGGCUUGUGUGAUGGGCCCUGGCGUCUCGUUCGCGAGACGGGCCCGAAAGGCAGCGGCGGCGUCGACCCGAUGAGCCCGAGCGUAUGGGGACUUUUGACACACGUUUGCGGUGCGGACCGGCGCCUGCUUGACUUUUCUGAUUAUCCAGGUUGACCUCGGAUCAGGUAGGGAUACCCGCUGAACUUAAGC